ACGAACGCUGGCGGCGUGCUUAACACAUGCAAGUCGAGCGGUAAGGCCCUUUCGGGGGUACGACGAGCGGCGAACGGGUGAGUAACACGUGGGUGACCUGCCCUCAGCUCUGGGAUAAGCCUGGGAAACCGGGUCUAAUACCGGAUAUGACUCCAUGACGCAUGUUGUGGGGUGGAAAGCCUUGUGCGGCUGAGGAUGGGCCCGCGGCCUAUCAGCUUGUUGGUGGGGUGAUGGCCUACCAAGGCGACGACGGGUAGCCGGCCUGAGAGGGCGACCGGCCACACUGGGACUGAGACACGGCCCAGACUCCGUACGGGAGGCAGCAGGUGGGGAAUCUUGCGCAAUGGGCGAAAGCCUGACGCAGCGACG
rnacentral:rRNA from 1 species